GCGAGAAAUAAUGGCAGGGCUGUCGUCAUACUAGUGAAUCUGAGAGCGAUAAACGCUCAAGAUCCCGAUGAACCUCCUCCACAUUUUCGCAACAACAAUUACUACCACUAGUACAGGAAAAAGGGCUUCUCAAUCACAUUCCUCUACUCAAAAUGCUUCGCUACAGAACCACUUCUCCCAUUCGAAGCGUGCAAAUGUAACAGUUGAUUAAUCGUUGUUAGGUUUAAAUUGAGAGUUCAA
rnacentral:misc_RNA from 1 species